rnacentral:rRNA from 1 species
UGGGGAAUAUUGGGCAAUGGGCGAAAGCCUGACCCAGCAACGCCGCGUGAAGGAAGAAGGUUUUCGGAUUGUAAACUUCUUUUAUCAGGGACGAAGAAAGUGACGGUACCUGAUGAAUAAGCCACGGCUAACUACGUGCCAGCAGCCGCGGUAAUACGUAGGUGGCAAGCGUUAUCCGGAUUUACUGGGUGUAAAGGGCGCGUAGGCGGGGAUGCAAGUCAGAUGUGAAAUCUAUGGGCUUAACCCAUAAACUGCAUUUGAAACUGUAUCUCUUGAGUGUCGGAGAGGUAGACGGAAUUCCUAGUGUAGCGGUGAAAUGCGUAGAUAUUAGGAGGAACACCAGUGGCGAAGGCGGUCUACUGGACGAUAACUGACGCUGAGGCGCGAAAGCGUGGGGAGCAAACAGGGAUUAGAUACCCUGGUA